rnacentral:rRNA from 1 species
UACGAAGGGGGCUAGCGUUACUCGGAUUGACUGGGCGUAAAGGGCGCGUAGGCGGCUUGUACAGUCAGGCGUGAAAUUCCUGGGCUCAACCUGGGGGCUGCGUUUGAUACGUGCGGGCUUGAGUUCGGAAGAGGGUCGUGGAAUUCCCAGUGUAGAGGUGAAAUUCGUAGAUAUUCGCAAGAACACCAGUGGCGAAGGCGGCUCACUGGCCCGGUACUGACGCUGAGGUGCGAAAGCGUGGGGAGCAAACAGG